rnacentral:rRNA from 1 species
UAUCUCUGUAGAGUCUGCAUAUCAAUAAGCGGAGGAAAAGAAACUAACUAGGAUUCCCUUAGUAACGGCGAGUGAAGCGGGAAGAGCUCAAAUUUGAAAUCUUCAAGGUUCUACCUUGACGAAUUGUAGUUUAAAGAAGUGUUUUCUGUUAGAUGAGUAGCAAAAGUUCCUUGGAAUGGGACAUCAUAGAGGGUGAGAAUCCCGUAUUUGGUUAUUCAUUCUAGCUUUGUGAUACACUUUCAAAGAGUCGGAUUGUUUGGGAAUGCAGUCCUAAAUGGGUGGUAAAUUUCAUCUAAAGCUAAAUAUUGGCGAGAGACCGAUAGCGAACAAGUACCGUGAGGGAAAGAUGAAAAGAACUUUGAAAAGAGAGUUAAUCAGUACGUGAAAUUGUCAAAAGGGAAGCGUUUGACACCAGUGUUGUUUUUCCGAAAAUCAAUUACGAAUGGCUUGAUUUUGUGUUGUAUUGACCUUAUCAGCUUUCUUCACUUUUUUCGAGUCUUUCUUAAUGCACUUUUGGUUAACAAGUCAACAUCAAUUUCUUUUGUUGUAAAAGAGUAUUCGGAAGGUGGCUUUCUUUUCGGAGAAAGUGUUUAUAGCCCUAUACUUCUACAAUCGGAGAGAUUGAGGUCUGCAGCGUAGAUCCUUCGGGGUUAGAUACACUUGUGCUAAGUUGUAGCUUUUCAUAGACAACUUGUUGACUAUGUUUAGUCAUGCGGCUUACUCGCUUGUGCUAUUUUACCUACGCUUAGGAUGUUGAAGAUGUAGCACAUCAU